rnacentral:snRNA from 1 species
AUCGCUUCUCGGCCUUAAUGGCUAAGAUCAAAGUGUAGUAUCUGUUCUUAUCAGCUUAAUAUCUGAUACGACCCGCACUGCGGGUCCAGUAUAUUGAACUUAUUUUUGGAAAUAGGCGGAAUGUUAGGGGCUUGCUCCACUUCUGCCAGGGGUUUGGCCCGGUAUUGCAGUACCGCCGGGAUCGGCCCAAUAAUA